ACCCUGGCGGGAGGCAUAGAACCGCCACCUGUAUUUGGUCACUUGGGUGGUGGGGAGCCAACAGUGAAACCGACCUGAUGAGGG
rnacentral:ncRNA from 2 species